CAAGUCGAACGGCAGCACGGGGGCAACCCUGGUGGCGAGUGGCGAACGGGUGAGUAAUAUAUCGGAACGUACCCAGGAGUGGGGGAUAACGUAGCGAAAGUUACGCUAAUACCGCAUACGACCCAAGGGUGAAAGUGGGGGAUCGCAAGACCUCAUGCUCAUGGAGCGGCCGAUAUCUGAUUAGUUAGUUGGUGGGGUAAAGGCUCACCAAGGCAACGAUCAGUAGCUGGUCUGAGAGGACGACCAGCCACACUGGAACUGAGACACGGUCCAGACUCCUACGGGAGGCAGCAGUGGGGAAUUUUGGACAAUGGGGGCAACCCUGAUCCAGCAAUGCCGCGUGAGUGAAGAAGGCCUUCGGGUUGUAAAGCUCUUUUGUCAGGGAAGAAACGACUCCUUCUAAUACAGGGGGUUAAUGACGGUACCUGAAGAAUAAGCACCGGCUAACUACGUGCCAGCAGCCGCGGUAAUACGUAGGGUGCAAGCGUUAAUCGGAAUUACUGGGCGUAAAGCGUGCGCAGGCGGUUUUGUAAGACUGUCGUGAAAUCCCCGGGCUUAACCUGGGAAUGGCGAUGGUGACUGCAAGGCUAGAGUUUGGCAGAGGGGGGUAGAAUUCCACGUGUAGCAGUGAAAUGCGUAGAGAUGUGGAGGAACACCGAUGGCGAAGGCAGCCCCCUGGGUCAAAACUGACGCUCAUGCACGAAAGCGUGGGGAGCAAACAGGAUUAGAUACCCUGGUAGUCCACGCCCUAAACGAUGUCUACUAGUUGUCGGGUCUUAAUUGACUUGGUAACGCAGCUAACGCGUGAAGUAGACCGCCUGGGGAGUACGGUCGCAAGAUUAAAACUCAAAGGAAUUGACGG
rnacentral:rRNA from 1 species